AAGGAGCGCCCCAGCGGCUCAGCGCCGGCUCUUUAAAGGUCGUCUGGUCCGGCCCCUCCCCCGCCGCCUCGCCGGGCAUCGCCCGCCGCCUCUGCCGAGUGGCGGGGUGGGACCCGAAGCCACCCUGGGGCUUUUCACCGGGAAAGUCGCAGUCUCUCACACCUUUCUGCCACUCUGAGGAGUGGGCUAGAAAUGAAUCCGUUAGUAAAAAUGUAGUGCCUAUAGCCUUUAGGCUCAUUCGGGAGGUUUGAGAACUUGUACGUGGCAGUGAUUUCAGCUGAAUUUUUGAUGUGUAGUAUUUCUUAGGUAACCGUUUGCGGACUCUCCAGGACCCACCUGAGAGAUGCAGUGCGGUAGAAACUGAGGUCAAGCGCAUGGGCUUCCGAAACCCGCUUCUGGGUUCACGUCCUGCCCCUAUACUUGACCGAAUCGCCCAGGCUCCACUGAAGAGGGAAUUUUCCGCGGUGAUGGAGAAGAUAUGUAUCAUGCUUAGCGUUUGGGUUACAGAGGUCUGUGCAUUUGUCAAAACUCAUGGAAUGGUGCAGCCCUCCAACACCUAUUUAAUCAAUUCCCUAUGCGAAGUUCUCUCCGUGGAAAUACUUCCUUUUGCCUGACGGCUGGACGCUGACAAAUACGGAUUGCGAAGUGAAAUAUAUCUCCUGUGAAUGUCAAUCCAGAGGGUUUAAGAAACACUAUCUCAGAGGAGUGGGAGAGUUCUUCACCAAACAGAUGCCCUACGUGCCAAGGGUCCAGUCCUUCCACAGACGGGUGCUCUGCGUCUCAGGUCUGUGAAGAGCAGAGACCCAAUUCUGCCACAGCAACUGUCACCGUUGGACCCUAGGCCUAGCGUGGCCUUAAGAAUCACUGGCGAUGAGCUUACAGUUGCCUACCACGGUUUGGCUGGAACCCCAAGCUUCAUGUGGACUCUGACCUCUCUCAGAUAUGUAGAAAUGCAGCUUUAUUUUUAAUUUUUGGUAAUGUUUAUUUUUGAGAGAGAGAGAGAAAGAGACAGAGUGUGAGUGGGAGAGGGGCAGAGAGAGAAGGAGACACAGAACCUGAAGCAGGCUCCAGGCUCCCAGCUGUCAGCAGAGAGCCCCAUGUAGGGCUCGAACCCCCGAGCUGUGAGAUCAUGACCCGAACCAAAGUCGGAAGCUUAACCAACUGACCCACAGGCGCCCCGAAAUGCAGCUUUUUAACUUGCUACCCUUAGCAAGUGUGGGGGGGGGGGGGAAACAAGAGUUAAUGAUGAAAAAGCAAGAAAGGGGUACCACAGACCUCACCAAGUGGGACCUGGUGAGGCCAAGAGAAGGAUGAAAAAGACAGAUUUUCAGGGUGGAUUUUUUCUCUCUGAUGUUGCCCUUUCUCACAGGUCACAUGAGGAGGUAAUAGACAAGAGAAGGAAACGAAGAACCUUGUACCUAUGUUUCUGCCAUAUCCAGCCCAAAUGAGGCUUUUGCUCUAUUUUAUUCAUUAACUGACUAUACUUCUGCUUCAGUGCUCCCAUUAGCAGUGAGGCACUCUUUAAAGACCAGAGCUAUUAGGCCAGCCUCACUUAAUCACCCAUUCUUAAUGAAAAGAACUGCUCCACAUUUGGGGAAUUCAAAACAUUUCUUAUGUAUGCCAAAAUAAACACAGAACCUCUUGGCAGUCGCCUGUGGGGAUUCUCCUUGCUUAGGAUUUUGUAUUUCCUUAUGCUAAUUUAGAAAUAGGAACAGGAAACCCAGGACUCGAGGCCGUUAAGCGGAUUGGUAACACUCUGGAGUGUUGCGGGUACGUAACUCAAUGAAUGAAUGUCGAGUCCUCCGUGAUAGCUGGAGUAAUAGUAUUUUCAUUGAGCACCGCAGUAAGUCAUUGCCUCCACCCGGCGAGAUGCUAAUACAUUAGCACCUAACUGCGCGAGGACCUUACAUUUAGUAGAGGAAUCCGUCACCGGACGUGAAUUACUCAGGCAAAUGUUGGCAAGUUACCUCGCUGGUGACGGGCAGAACCUUUUCUAGCGAGCUGAAAAGCAUGUUACAAGGUAGCUGGCAUGUCAUAGAGGGAGAGCAGCUUGUGAUCAGGUUUUCUAUUUGGAGAAGGCAGUGCUGUGCCAAGCAACCCCAACCACAACACAUUUAAAGUCUGAAUGGGAAAAGGAGCGGUACAUCUGGGAUCCUAUUUCCCCUUCCAAGAAGAUACAAGUCACUCUAGACGGCUUCUCCUGGUUCCAGAGUCCUUUUCCUGCCGGUUUUUUUUUUUUUUCUUCUGUGUCCUGUUUUACUUCAACUGUAGGGGAUUGAGAGUGAUGGGCUUGGGAGGCAAGUUCUAUUUCCUCUCUUUCCGCUUGUUUUUCUGCUACAUUUUAGGUCUUCCUCGUGAUUUAUGUGCAUAAAUGAUGGCUUACAUGAAUCAUUCCUAAACGGUUAACUACGCAAGCAAACUGUUCAUCAUCCAGUUCUCCGUGAUAGCCUCUCCUUAUGUUCACCAGGCUGCCUCACUCUUUUCUCAAAUCCCACCGCAAAUUUCACGUUUCCGAAAAGCCCUCUCUGACAGCUACAAUGAAGACUUCUAACAGCCCUUAUUCGACCUCACCUCUGUCCCUUUUCCCCAGCUCACCAGUUAGCUGUUCUCACUAUCUGACGGUGCAGUCACAAGAAAAUAAAGUAGGGACAGCAGACACAUAAGUUUUGUACUGUUUCUUCCCUCUUGAUCUGUGCCUGGAUUUAUGCCUUCCUGACAAAUAAGAAGGUCGUUGUGUUUAAACAUUACAACCUAAGUGAGAAUUAUAGAGAAUUAUAUAGUCAUACCUUGGAGAUAUUGUGGGUUUAGUUCCAGAACACCACAAUAAAACGAGUAUCACAGUAAAGCAAGUCAAAUUAAAUUUUUGCUUCCCCAGUGCAUAUAAAAGUUAUGUGUAUACUAUAAUCUUUUAACUGUGCGAUAGCAUUGUAUCUAAAAAAAAAAACAACAAUGUACAUACCUUAAUUCAAAGAUCCUUUAUUACUAAAAGAUGAGUUUUCAGCAAGUCUUAAUCUUUUUGCUGGCAGAGGGUCUUGCCUCAAUGUUGAGGGCUGCUGACGGAUCAGGGUGCUGGUUGCUGACGGUUGGGGUGGCUGUGGCAAUCUCCCAAAAUGAGACAACAGUGAGAUUUACCUAUGUUUAUACGUGGAGGGUUCGUUCAAUCAUUUUAAUUGCUGCAGUCAUAGAAUACAGUUCAUCCCUUUCCCACUGAUGGACAUUUCGUUUCUUUCCAACCUUCACGUCCAGGUACGUCCGGGCUGCUGUAACAAAAAUACCAUAGGCCAGAUGGCUCAUAAACAACAGAAAUUCAUUUCUUCCAUUUCUGGAGGCUGAGCAGCUCCAGGUCAAGUCACCAGCAGAUUCAGUGUCUGAGUGAAAGGAUUUCAAUCUUAAAUGGAACCAGAAGAUAUGAAAUGCGGAAUCUCAAGAAUGUACCCUCUGAAGAAUGGAACUUAAGAACCAAGAGACUGAUUUCCAUUAAAUGCCCGAUUUACCCAAGACCAAGACUCACUGCCUCACCAAUGAACAUCCAACAAGAAUCUCUCCCCUUUCUCAAGCCAGUAAACGUACUGCUCGGACUCUGGCUCAACUUCCCCUUCAUUGCACUCCUUGGCCAUAAAUAUUUAAAUAUUCUCCCUCGAUGCUGAGUGGACCAGCCUAGAGCUUGCAUUGCCCAAGUUGUAUCCCUCUGCUAUUCCCAACUCAGUUUUAGGUCAAGACAACACACUUCUCUGUGGGUCAGGAAUCCAGGCACGGUUCAUCUGGGUCCUCUACUUCAGAGUGUCUCAUGAGGCUUCAAUCAAGGUGUUGGCCAGGGCUGGGGUCUCUUCUGGGAAGAGCUCUCUUGGCUGGGAAAAACCCACUUCCAAGCUCACUUGGUUGUUGGCAGGAUUCAGCUCUUUGCAGGCAGUUGGACUGAGAGCCUUAAUUCCUUGCUGGCUGUCGGCCAGAGGCUACCUUCAGUUGUCUGCUAUCCGAGCCUUUUCACAGGACAGCUCAUAACAUACCGACUUGCUUUGUCAAAACCAGCAGAGGUGAGACUUUGAAAGCAAGACUUGACGGUCAGAAUCUUCAGUACUAUCUCUUCAUGGAUAAUAAUAUUCAUGGAUAGUAUUCUUGAAUAUUAACCUACUCAUCUUGCGUAUUCUAUUGGUUAGAAGCAAGUCACAGGUCCCACCCCAUAAUCAAGGGGAGGGAUUACCCAGACGUGUGAAUGUCAGGAGGUAGGGAUUAUCAUGGGCCAUCUUAGAGCUCAUCUGUCGUAGGCAGGCAUAAUAGUUAAGAAUAUUGGUUAGCCUGUCAAUUAACAGCAAAAGAAACAACAGAUGUUGGCGAGGAAGUGGAGAAAGGGGAACCCUCUGUUGCCCCUUUGGUGGGAAUGCCAACUGGUGCAGCCACUCUGGAGAGCAAUAUGGAGGUUCCCCAAAAAACUACAAAUAGGGGUGCCUGGGUGGCUCAGUCGGUUCAGGUCACGAUCUCGCAGUUCGUGAGUUAGAGCCCCACUUCAGACUCUGUGCUGACAGCUCAGAGCCUGGAACCUGCUUUGGAUUCUGUGUCUCCUCUCUCUGCCCUUUGCUCCCUCUCUGUCUCUCUCUCUCUCUCAAAACUAAAUAAACAUUAAAAAAAAACAAAAACCUAAAACUAGAACUACCCUACGAUCCAGCAAUUGCACUACUGGGUAUUUACCCAUAGGAUACAAAAAUACAGAUUUGAAGGGGCACAUGCAUUCUGAUGUUUAUAGCAGCAUGAUCAACAAUAGCCAAACUAUGGAAAGAGCCCAGAUGUCCAUCAAGUGAUGGAUAGAGAGGAUGUGGUGUAUAUAUGAUUGAAUAUUACUCAGCCAUCAAAAAGAAUGAAAUCUUGCCAUUUGCAACGACAUGGAUGGAGCUAGAAUGUAUCAUGCUAAGCGAAAUAAGUCAAUCAGAGAAAGACAAGUACCAUAUGAUUUCACUCAAGUGUAGAAUUUAAGAAACAAAACAAAUGAACAUAUGGGAAGGGG